rnacentral:rRNA from 2 species
GGUAAUACGGAGGGUGCAAGCGUUAAUCGGAAUUACUGGGCGUAAAGCGCACGCAGGCGGUCUGUCAAGUCGGAUGUGAAAUCCCCGGGCUCAACCUGGGAACUGCAUUCGAAACUGGCAGGCUUGAGUCUUGUAGAGGGGGGUAGAAUUCCAGGUGUAGCGGUGAAAUGCGUAGAGAUCUGGAGGAAUACCGGUGGCGAAGGCGGCCCCCUGGACAAAGACUGACGCUCAGGUGCGAAAGCGUGGGGAGCAAACAGGAUUAGAUACCCUGGUAGUCCACGCCGUAAACGAUGUCUACUUGGAGGUUGUGCCCUUGAGGCGUGGCUUCCGGAGCUAACGCGUUAAGUAGACCGCCUGGGGAGUACGGCCGCAAGGUUAAAACUCAAAUGAAUUGACGGGGGCCCGCACAAGCGGUGGAGCAUGUGGUUUAAUUCGAUGCAACGCGAAGAACC